rnacentral:rRNA from 1 species
AUUGAACGCUGGCGGCAGGCUUAACACAUGCAAGUCGAGCGGAGAUGAGGUGCUUGCACCUUAUCUUAGCGGCGGACGGGUGAGUAAUGCUUAGGAAUCUGCCUAUUAGUGGGGGACAACAUUCCGAAAGGAAUGCUAAUACCGCAUACGUCCUACGGGAGAAAGCAGGGGAUCUUCGGACCUUGCGCUAAUAGAUGAGCCUAAGUCGGAUUAGCUAGUUGGUGGGGUAAAGGCCUACCAAGGCGACGAUCUGUAGCGGGUCUGAGAGGAUGAUACGCCACACUGGGACUGAGACACGUCCCAGACUCCUACGGGAGGCAGCAGUGGGGAAUAUUGGACAAUGGGGGGAACCCUGAUCCAGCCAUGCCGCGUGUGUGAAGAAGGCCUUAUGGUUGUAAAGCACUUUAAGCGAGGAGGAGGCUACUGAGACUAAUACUCUUGGAUAGUGGACGUUACUCGCAGAAUAAGCACCGGCUAACUCUGUGCCAGCAGCCGCCGUAAAAC